UGGGGAAUAUUGCACAAUGGGCGCAAGCCUGAUGCAGCCAUGCCGCGUGUAUGAAGAAGGCCUUCGGGUUGUAAAGUACUUUCAGCGGGGAGGAAGGCGAUAAGGUUAAUAACCUUGUCGAUUGACGUUACCCGCAGAAGAAGCACCGGCUAACUCCGUGCCAGCAGCCGCGGUAAUACGGAGGGUGCAAGCGUUAAUCGGAAUUACUGGGCGUAAAGCGCACGCAGGCGGUCUGUCAAGUCGGAUGUGAAAUCCCCGGGCUCAACCUGGGAACUGCAUUCGAAACUGGCAGGCUAGAGUCUUGUAGAGGGGGGUAGAAUUCCAGGUGUAGCGGUGAAAUGCGUAGAGAUCUGGAGGAAUACCGGUGGCGAAGGUGGCCCCCUGGACAAAGACUGACGCUCAGGUGCGAAAGCGUGGGGAGCGAACA
rnacentral:rRNA from 1 species